GUUUAUGUAGUUUAAUUAAAACAUUACAUUUUCAAUGUAAAAAUAAUAUAUGAUAUUCAUAAAU
rnacentral:tRNA from 1 species